UGGAGAACUCUUUCCCUUUGGCUUACUCCCUCAUUCCCAACGGAGAGGGGAUAAAUAAAUUUCAAGGCAGGCCCCGCAGAGAACUCUGGGGAGUCAGGGCUGGCCAGCACGUAGCUGGAGGUGCGAACUGGAGGGAUGCAGCUUCUGGAGGGAGCCAGGGACCAGGAGUAUCCAGUGCUAUCCCCUGGGAUCAUGGCGUCCAAGUCCCAAUUCCAGAUGGAAAUCGUUUAUUGAGAAGUGUCAGUGCCUGGGGAU